UUCAAUUACAACGAGGCAGAGUUCAUCAGGAAAGAAGGUACUUCAGGCGCAGGAGACGCUCCAGAGAAACAGCACAUGGACUCUGGGCUUCCAGUCUUCACUAGAAGAAACCUUUACCACCUUGAACCACUGUACCUGACACAUUAAUCGGUUAUCGUAACUAACCAAGUGCUGGGGACAGACGUGCUGGAGAGACUUCCAAUGCAAACAUUACUACCGCCGAUCGAGUAAUAUGAACAUGAUGUCCCUGGCUGCCCAGAGCACAUGCUUCUGACAUAAAGGUGCAGGUUGGCAAAUCUCAUGUCCCAUGAAACCAGUUAAAGGGACGCAAUCAAAAUUUCUAAGGAGCCUACAGAAGGAGUGGCCGUGGCAGCUUCCUUUUAAACCACCGAGCACUGAUUUUUAAUAUAAAAUGGAACACGUGGCAAUUAUGUCCCUAAACCCAGCUCAAAGCAUGGAGCUGAAAUUCCUCUAGUGGCAUUGCUGGCUGAUCCCUCCUGAGACUAGACAGAGGGCAGACAUCCAUCGUAUUCCCAGACCUCUUUGCAGCACCUGGUAUUCAAAGCAAACUGCAAGAGCAUUGCCAAGUUCGGAGGACUUCCUCAGCAAAGAUUGAAGCAGCUCAACCUUGCAGGUUCAUUUCAUCUGGGUUCUAUUAUACCUCCUGUGAAUUUAGUGUUUGCCAAGGCCAGUGACAAGGAACUUGACAAGAUGCAGCAUGAGGAAGAAUGGUGGGUCUGGGCUUCUGGGAAAGAUAUGAUGACAACAAUCAGAUAUUGGAAGCUUCAUGUACAAGAGGCUCCAGUUUCACUUUGGACUUGAUAGUAAUUCUGUUUACUGCAGGAUUUGACCCAGUUAGCCAGAGACCAUCCCAUCUAAUUGUACAACCGAACAACAGUAAAGAAUUACCAAGGCUGGUAAAAAACAGAAAUGAUUUUUUUCCCCUACCUAAACUACAUAGCAAUUCCACACAAGGCCAGUAUUCUGGAGCAGGAUUUAAGUUUUGUUAAAGCCACGAUAGUCUAGAAAAAGCGAAAGUAGCAAGGAUUUUUGUGGGAUUAUUUUAUAAUUGCCUUUAUUGAACCAACUGUAUAAUUGGGAGAGAUGUUAGGUAAACUUUCAGAUAAAGUGCCUUUCCUCACUGAAGGGAAGAAUGCAGUAAAGAGAUGUAAUGCCCGAUCAUAUUCUCUGUAAAGCUGUAAUGAAGCUAUACCAUCCCAAUUCCACCACAGUUCCUUGUGCCAGAAGUCAGAGUGUAAUUACUUACCUGUAUGCUGGGAUAUUUUAUUUUUAAAAUAAAAUUUUAAAAGUGGGCUUCUUCUCAGAACUUAAAGGGAGCAAAACAAGUAAGCUUUUCUGCUUUUUCAAUACUAGGAAUGUCAGGUCUCAGGCAGGCAGGAGUCUGGCUGCAUAUACUCCAUCCUUCAUUUAUAACUACACUUAAUUAUCUUACAUUGUGGAUGAAACUGAACCAAUCAAGACACUCCAGUAAAUAUGGAAUUACCAAAUGCCCAUCUUUCCAUGUUAAAGCUACUACUGACAAAAAUUCUGCAAAUUAUUACUUGUAUAGAUUGAGAGACACUUGUACGCUUCCGUCCCCAUUCUCCUUCCCCUCCCCUGCCUCAAACCUUAUACCCUGCGUGUUUUCAGUUUGUGAUUGUACACUUCACUACACCCAUUUAUUUCCAAUCUCACUCAGACACUUCAAGGAAAACAUUUCAAAAUAUCACUAAGUGUCCACUUACCUAUACUUAUAUGUCACAAACAUGAAAUUUGAAGUACACACUCAUCCAUUUCUAUUCUUCUGGAGUACAGUUACUGUUAAGUACCAAGCAGAUCCUUCACAUUUGUUUGAAUUUUGAGACCAUGUAAAAGCAAAGAGCCACCUAAUGGCAAUAUGUAAAUGGUGCAAAAAAGAAUGAUUGUAUUUAUCAGAAGUUGCCAGCGAGCUUUCUCCACAAGACAGGCACCUUUUCAGGAAAAUGCCGGUGAUCCAAGAUUCGUGUCUUGUAUCUGAAGUGGAACUAAAUUAAUAAGGACUUAAUUCCAUAAUUUCACCUUAAAGUGAUUCUCUUUAAUAAGGAGGAUCAGAGGAAUUUUUAGGAUAAUACAUAAACUGAGCAUGUUUUAUGAUAAAACAUGCUAACUUAAUAGCCAGAAAAAAAUCCAGACUGAUGGCCAUUCCUACAUUUAAAUAUCGUUAUUUAGCAAUUAAAAAAAAUAAAAAAUAAAAAAAAAAAA